rnacentral:lncRNA from 1 species
UAGAGUUGAUAUUACUAUCCUAUUCUCCAGGUAUAACCUUAUCUAUCUGCAUAUUACCGCAGGGAUUGUUUAUUGACUGUCUAUGUAGUCUAGAUCCGCUAAGUUUAGUUUCAACAGGGCCACCACGAGAAGGGUGCAAUCAAAGAUUACACACCCCCAAUCAAUGUUGGGAGUACCCAGCAGUCUUGGGAUGGUUUAAGGAGGUGCAAAGUCCUAAAACUCUCCAAGCAAAACUCAUCCCCUGAGAUUAGUUCUUUUCCCGCUCAGCUUUACGCCGACUUGAAAAAGAGCACAUCCCUCGGCCCAAAAAAAAA